GACGAACCGUACGAACGUUAUUCGGAAUCACUGGGCUUAAAGGGUGCGUAGGCGGCGCAGAAAGUUGGGUGUGAAAGCCCUCGGCUCAACCGAGGAAUUGCGCUCAAAACUACUGUGCUUGAGGGAGAUAGAGGUGAGUGGAACUAAGGGUGGAGCGGUGAAAUGCGUUGAUAUCCUUAGGAACACCGGUGGCGAAAGCGACUCACUGGAUCUCUUCUGACGCUGAGGCACGAAAGCUAGGGUAGCGAAC
rnacentral:rRNA from 1 species